UACGUAGGGAGCGAGCGUUGAUCGGAAUUAUUGGGCGUAAAGCGUGCGCAGGCGGUUGUUUAAGUCAAGUGUGAAAACCCAGAGCUCAACUUUGGGAUGUCCUUUGAGACUACCUAGCUAGAGUUAGGCAGAGGGGGGUGGAAUUCCAAGUGUAGCGGUGAAAUGCGUAGAUAUAUGGAGGAAUACCGGUGGCGAAGGCAGCUCCCUGGGACGUAACUGACGCUCAGGCACGAAAGCGUGGGUAGCAAACAGG
rnacentral:rRNA from 1 species